AAAAUACCUAGCCAUUGACUACAAGUCAUGCAGCCUCAAGGUCGGCUUCGGUCUGAUGCUCCUCGGCUUCAUCUACAUCAUCAUGUUCCGUCAGGUGCGAGAUUACGUUUAUGAUCCAGAUGCUGACUACGCAAAGUAAGCAAAAGUACAAGCAGGAUAAUAAAACUUCACCAGGAACACGUUCCAGCACACCGAAGAGCUUAGUCACAGUGCCGCCGAGACAAGUUACAAGCCAUCUUGUUCGUCCGAACCGAAUGCGAGCUUGAAGACCAAAAUACCGAAUAGUGACAAUUUAUGUAUUUUUUCGAACCUCUGCAGAUUACCG